rnacentral:lncRNA from 1 species
GGGGCUUGAGACAUGCAGAUGAAAGUCCCUGAAAGACUACUGAAAUAUUUACAAAACAAUUCAUUUACAUUAAGCUUUUGUAUACAUAAAAUCUGAGAUGCCUACAAAAAGACUGAAUCAACUUAGGCUAUUAGAAAUAUUUUGGCAUCAAAAUGGUUAAUAGUAUUAUAGCUUCAAAAGAGCCUAUUGGCUCACCCUCAAGGAUGCCCUGCAGUAGUUGUUAAAGUCAUCAGAUGAAGCUAGCCUUCUCAGCUAGCCUUUAGAUUUGUCUGCUCACAGUAAAAAUACUAUAAUAAAUCGGUAACAUAUGUUGCCAAGCAAGGAAAAGUGAUAUAAAUAAAGAGACAAGGAGACCCAAACCAAAUUCAAAGUGAAAAGAAUUUAACUUUCAAUCUAGUUUCUGGCUAAUUACCAUUUGAGAAGUAAUUUGAAAGUGUUACUGUUAUUUGCUUAUAUGCUUCCUGUUUUUCUUUUUUCUCUUCAGAUUGCAUUCUUACCCAAAUACUCUCCGUGAUUGCCUGCUUUGCGGCUUUGGGCAUUUUACUACGAGGGAGCAUGAAUUCAUAUCAUUCCUAACUGAAAAGGAAGCCUCUCGUUACAGCACAUUGACAUCAUUGACAAUUAGACAGGAUCCUGAGGAGAAGAAAGGAGGCCCUGGC